GGAUAUGAGCGUCCAAAUGAGGGAGCCAUUGUGAAAUUGAAACUAAUUGGUAAGCUGCAAGAUGGUAAUCUCUUUAUGAAGAAGGGCCAUGAUGAUGAAGGGCAGCUGUUUGAAUUCAAAACAGAUGAAGAGCAAGUAAUUGAUGGGCUUGACAGAGCUGUGUUGACCAUGAAGAAGGGUGAGGUUGCAUUGUUGACUAUUGCACCUAAGUAUGCUUUUGGCUUGUCGG